rnacentral:ncRNA from 2 species
CUCUUAUCGAGAGAGGUGGAGGGAAAGGGCCCUAUGAAACCCGGCAACCUGUGUAUACAAGGUGCCAAUUCCUGUGGAUAUGUUAUAUCUACAAGAUAAGAA